rnacentral:tRNA from 1 species
AGCAGUGUGGCUUAGUGGAUAGAGCAUGGGCCUGGGAGUCAGAAGGACCUGGAUUCUAAUUCCGGCUCUGCCU